UGGCGGGCGUGCGUGGCCGGCCCGUUUGGAAGCCGUGGGGGUAGAGGCUGUUCUGCGUACGGCCACCCGGAGGCCCAGGCCACGGACAGUCUCCGAGCCGACUAUCCCGGCCCGUCUCCGUGGUAACCGGCUGGCUGCAGAGGGCUGUGGGAAGUGUAGUUGGGCGGGGCCGGCCCGUGCGCAAGGUCUCUGCCUUUACAGCUCGCUUCCGCGGUCAGAGCGAUUUUCCGCCGUCCGGGCGAGCUUCUCCCGCUUUAUCUUGACCUCCGAGCACCCCGGCAGGUGGGCGGCCGCCCAGACAGAACGUUUCUGAAAUUAAGCUCAUGAGGAGUUUCUUUGAAAUGUAACCCUCCCACGGCACAAGUGAGCUUCCUUGGAAACUUCUCCAGUCAAGAAUGACCCUAGCAAUGAUGGGGGCUGUGUCCUUGGCCCUCCAGAUCCAGUCCCUUAGACCAGCAUCAGGGAAUUUUCCAGAGGGGAGGCCGAGGAGCUGCCCUGCCCCAGAGAAGAGUUUCAAGCAGGAGAGAGAAGAGAGAAGCUGGGAAGGUGACCAGAGUGACCAGAACUGCCGGCCAGACAGAAAGCUCUUCAAGGAAGAACUACAUCUUGUCCUUUGUAUUCUCCACGGCACCUCUGAGCACCAAGGGACUCGGACGACUUGGGGAUUGGCGACUGUAUGCAGCUGUGGACACCGCAGUGGACGCAGAGAGAUGGAUUCGUGAUUCAGGGCCAUCUCAGAUGGAGAUGCGCUUACCCUUGACUGAAGACACAGCCUGCCUUCUCUGGUAUGGUUGUCGGCCAUUCUCCUCCAGGUCACACAGGAGGAAGGUCAACUUGUCCUUAUUGCCACACCUUCCUCCCGACCCGGAAGCCAGAUGAGCCCUGAUGUCCGUGAGGUGGCAGGUGCUUGGUCCCCAUUGCCUCGGCUCUGCCUGCGAGGCAUUGCUGGCUGCCAUGCACUGCGCUAACCUUGGGAGUGACCUUGAGAGGGGGAGGCAGGGGACAAACAAGAAACCAGGAUGUUGGAGAGCUCGCCCGUGUCCUGGAUAAGGAUGGCUGGCUCAGGGUCCACCCUCAACAUGAAGUUGGAGCUCUUUGAGAACAAGGCCUAUGUCUGAAGCAUCUCUGUAUUCACAGUGCCUCGCUUAACACCUGGCACUGAGUGCUUCUGUGGUUACCAGCAACCAAGGUUACCAGCGUGGAGGUAACCAGGAGAACGAUGUUAACGACUGUACUGAAACGUCCCACCUGUGCCACCCCCGCCACGAGUACAUCAUCCUUUCGUAUACGGCGAAGUUCUGGGUCCCAAGCGCAAAGUGCAGGAACAUCCCUUGUCUUUUGUUAGCUGCAAAAUCUCUACGUCCCCUACCAAAAAUGGGGACAGGUUCUGUGUAUAUAUCCAGCGAUUUAUAUAGCCGUGGCGCUCUCUUCUAAAUUGCUUUAAAAGCUAGUAAGUUAGAAAUGCUCGCGGUGGGGUUGAUAAGAGUUAGUCCCUAGUGUUGGCACUGCCCAUAAGAACUGCAUUUCCUAGAAAGCGGAGGCUGCUUCUGAACAGCUGAACCUUGAACCUGGUGAAGAUGUGAGCAGAUUGUGGAGCAGUAAGGAGAGGAAGGGGGGCCCCUUGCCAGCUGCCUCUCUGCCUGCUUACCCGAGGCUCACGAGCUCACGCACGCCGCUGUCUCUGGCCAGGAGGACAGCUCCUCACUGGGCUUUCGUGCUCCUGACUUGGACGUGUAUAGCUGGAACGUCAUUUAUACUGGAUCUCCAGAACACCCUCUCACAUCACUCCUCUAAGGACGAUCGCAAGACCAAAUCGAGUAAGAAAUGAUAGAAACAGGUAGAGGAGAUUGAAAUGACUCAUCAAGGCUGUUGGGAGAGCAGGGGACCGGAGGGACACGGACUCUAAGCCCGGAGAGACUAGGGUACUCUGACUCCUGGGGAGCUGGCGAAGGCUGUUCCAAAGGCUUCUAGGAGCUCAAGAAGCUAGAAGGAAAGCUGUAAAGUGCUUUAUGGUAUGUAAAAUAACCCCCCAGCGCCACUCCCCACCACGAGGGGCCCCAGCGGAGCUCCCCGUCAGAACCGCCAAGCCAGCUCUUUCGAUGGGGACCGGCAGGCGGGCUCUCCCUGCUGGGGCUCAGCCCCACUCACCAGGUACGUGAGAGGCUCUGACUGUAGCAGUGACUCGCGUGCGUUUAGUGCCUCACGUGCAGCAUCUCAUUUAAUCCUCCCAGCAACCCUUGAAAUGGGACAUUUCUGUCCUCAGAUUACAAAUGAAGUAACUAUCUCCUGGAGAGGUGACAUAACUUGCCUAAGGUCACGCAACUAAGAAGUAAAGGAGCAAAGGUUCAAAUCCAGGUCUGCCCAUUAUCCAUGCUCUUCAAAGUUCUCGUUUUCCCACUGCGGACUUUUUAAUUCCCUUUGCUGGAAUCACCGGUCCAUCUUCUGUCCGUUACAUGGUCAUCUUGAAUUAGUCCUGCUUCUCCAGUCGGUCUCUUCUGUGGCCUGUCAAAGCCACAAAAGGGUCUCUAAGAUACAAGUCCAGUAAUGUACCAAAUGCUUCCAAGCCCUGUUAAAGCCACGUUCAUGAGAAUGCCCGGCUUCCUACUAGCAGUCGCUGGAAUUUCUGCGGUAGGAGUUUGGGGAGAUUCCAGGUGGUGGCAGACUCAGGAAUCUGUGACUUAUGCUCUCAAUUCUGUAAGUCAGGUAACAGGCGGAGCGAAGCAGGAACAUCUUAUUUCUGCUCCACCAUGUCUGGACCUUAAAUAGGGUGACCCGAACAUCUGGAUUCGGCUGGGCAGGUUCAACUGCGGCCGUAAGUCAAGGGCCUUGGUUCUGGCUGCCAGCCAGUUUCCUCUCCUCUUCUCCACAUGGCAUCCACUAAAAUGGGGCUGAAAUGUCCAAAAAUGGCUUUUUCCCUCCUGUGCCUGGUGCCCCCGUGUUCUGCCUUGUGGCGUCUCUGUGUAGAGUGGCCUGAUCUUAUCUUGUUUCCCUGGGCUCCAGGAACCCACUGUCUCUGCUCUUCUCCACUCCAUUACACCUGCCACACACACACACACAGCCCAUCCUGUGGGGAGCGGCCUCAUCCAGCCCCCCCGCCAGGUGGCUGUGUUGUAUCAUAUGACCCCACCUCUGUCACCCUCCCCACACCACACACACAGGCAGGUCAGGGGACCAGGAUCUCUAUAGGCUGGCCAACAACUUUUGAAGUUGCCCGACUCAAAAAUGUAAAGGAAGACAGUCAGGCCAGGCAGUUUCCCCUUUUAGGAAAUUUGAAUCCCCAAAUCAGACCGUAUAGGCAGCAGUGUGUGACACGAUGUCAUGAGGGCAAGUAGGGCCAUGUGCUGGCCAGAAUUACACUGAGGAGGAAAACUGGAGACCGAAGAAAAGCAAACCAAGCUGUGACAGGGAGAAAACGCGAUUAGAGUUGGGGGAAGAAUGAGCCUCUUGUGGAAGAAGAUAAAGGAGGGGAUAACCUGAGCAGAGCUGGGGCUCCGUGAAAAAGGCAGAGAGAGGAGCCAGCCCUGGAGCCGCCCUGCUGCCCGGGCUCACCAGGCCUGCCCUGCCCCGCUCCCCAACCCAUGCGUUGCACUGCAGCAAGCUCGUAACUUCUUCCCUUUGCUGUCUGUUGGCUUAGAAGUGGGCACAAGACUUAGUUCUGCCAACAAAACUUACAGGGAAAUGGCUGGGGGACCUUCUGGGAAGAUUUUGCUUUCUGAUUAAAGAAGAGAGAGUGAAGAGGCCUGUCCCGUCUUCCUGCUUUGAACAGGGAUGUUUGAGACGUGAUACUUGGAGCUGUAGCAGCCAUCUUGAGACCAGGAGGCAACAAAACCAAGGGAAAAAGCCAACAUACCAAGGUUGGCCGAAUAGACAGAUAAAAAAAGCCUGGGUCCUUGAUGAUACUGUUGAGCCACUAUACGUAUCCUGGAACCACCUACUUCCAGUCUUGUUGGUCGCUGAAUUGAAUGUCUUUACUUCCUAAGCUGAUUUCUGCUCUUCGCAGCCUUUGCCAUUCUUAACCAGUACAGCACUCCUCUGAACCUCUCUGUCAUCAAUUCCUUACAGCCCCAUGGCUCUUGGUGUAGCUCCAAAUGGAAAAUCAGCCCAAGUUUAGACAUUGGAAAUCUUACUUGUGUGGUAGGAAAUGCAGGUCAAGACUGGUCACGGCCUACAUAGGCAAGCAACUUUAGCACUUGGUUCCGAGUCCCAGGGCCUACAGGGCACCGACAAGGAAGGAAAGAUUCAGGAAAGUUCAGGCGUAUGGGCAUGUCUUCUAAAAUGGGGGUCAUCUUCUAAAAUGGGGCUGAAUGAUGAAUUUUAGAACAAAUCAGUGGGAUAGUGGUAGGGGGGUAUGAGUCCCUGGGAUGCAGAGCCUAAGCAAGGGCCACGGAAGGCACACGGAAGGAGCAGCAAGUUGGAAUGGGCAAGGGGUGGGUUGGGUUGGAUGAAUUCUAGAGAAGGAGCCAGUCCCAUGCAGCAGGAUUUUAUGAGCCCCACGUACCAGCUGGAAGAAACGUAUGGCAGCUAGAACUACACUGGUGCAAAACUAAGCCCUUUAGUUACUCUCCAGCCAGCCUUAGUGACGUUGCAUAUCCUCUUAGGAAUAAGGUGCCAUGAGUUGUGGCCACUCCCCACUUUCUCCAUUCUUUGUCCCUUUUUUCUCAGACUUUUCUUCCUGUCUUCUCUAGCAAAGCCAGGAGCCAGAAAUGCACACGACCUGAAUCUCUUCUCCCUCGACUGGGGAAUGGAUAUAGUGGUGAGCAAGGGCGUCUUCUAGGAGACUCAGAAUCCUAGGCUAGGGGUGAGGAGUCAGGUUGGGAGGAGAGAACACAGUCGGUGGAUAAGAACCAGAUGAAGCUUCUUCUGAUCCAGCUUCCAUCAAGCAAUGUGGUUUUCGUGUUGCUUCAACACAAGAAAGUGUGCCUGACCCUUCCCUCAUGAAAUGAGAAGUUGAACUCAAGAACUGUAGCCCUUGCUCUUUAAAUGUCUAGUUUUAGAUACAAAACAAAGAGGAACUGGCAUCCUCCUAAUGUAGCCUUCAAAUACGAAUGAUUCCAUUACAUUCAGAACUUGAGAAAAAUCACCACCCCCUCUUCCCAUCACAAAAUAGUCUUCAGCAGUAGAGAUGUGGCCCGUAGAAGUUCCUCGAGUUAAUGGGGCCCGAACACAGAUAUCCUGCAGUCAUAGUAGAAUUUGCAACCUCCAGAUCCUGCCAGGAAGCCUCACUCCCUCAACGCGGUCCUUACACGCUCUGCAUGAUUUAUGGAGUCCUGACCCCGAAGGCCCAAGCCAGGCCGCCUCUGCUGUUUACCUAUUGCAUUACUUCAUUCAUUCAGCAGAAACGUACUGAAUACCUACUAGAAUUAGAAGUUAAGCUUACAAAAGCAAGCUUAUAAGCUUAUCUUCCUUACUUCCUUAAGGAAGAUAAGUCAUUAGAGACAAAAAAAAUUCUAUGAGAUAACCAGGGACAGAAAUGAAAGCUUUGGUUGCAGUGGAAGAAGCAAAAAGUUUAAACCCCUUCUUAAUGCAAUUAAUGCUUUAAUGCGAUACUUAAUAAACCCUGAAUCCCCCACCCCACCCCACCCCGGCAAAGUUUCCCCAUAUACCACUAAGGAUUCUCUGAUAUCCAAUAAGGAAAAGAACUGAAGGCUUUUCCUCAGUCUCCACAAUCAAGGUUUUUCUCCAGAAUGAAUUAGCCUGAUUACUGACUAAAAGCUCUCCCACAAUCUUUACAACGAGAGUGUUUGUUUCCUGUGAAUUCUCCAAAGAUGAGAAAGGGCUGCGCUAUCCCCAAAUGAUGCUCCACGUUGGUUUUACUCACAGGCUUCUCUCCAGCAUGAAUGAUCUGACUGACGUCCAGCAUACGCCACGCUUCCCCUAGACAGCUUUCCACAUUCACACACGCCCGCUUCACAUCCCGAAUGAAUUAGCUGACAUUGUCUGAGGCUAGAACUCUGAUUGAAGGUUCUUCCUCAUCCAUCCUGCUCCCAGGGCUCCUAUCCGCUCUGAAAUCCCAGAUGUCUAAUUAGCUCUGAGCACUGUCUAAAAGCAUUUUCACAGCCAUUACGUGAAUAUGGUUUUUCUCCAGUGUGAAUUCUCUGACGUUGAAUGAGCUUGACUUUUCCUGAAAGCCCUCACAUUUGUCGCAUUUGUAGCGUUUCUACUGAAUGCAAAUGAGCUGAUUCCGUGUGGUGUCGGAAUGCUGCCAGAUGCCUCCUGCAAACAGGGAUUCUCUCCAAGAUGAAUGUUAGAAUGUUCAGUAGGCUGGGAGAGAAAAGUGGCCUCUGUACAUAACAAAUAUGUUUUCUCCAAUACGCAUACUGUAAUAUUGAAUAAAUUCUGAAUUCUGUUCUAAGAGUUAGCCACAUCUAUCUUAUUUGCGGGUUUUCUCACUUCUAAAAAACCUGUGUAUAGAAUUGCAGAUUUUCCCAUAUUCAUCCCAUUCAUGGGACGGGGUCCCUAAUGGUCCUCUAGAAUGUCUCUGUAUUUACAGACCUCUCGAAACUCAGACCUGAUCAGUAUCUCACAGGUACCCUCUCAAUGCAUCUGCCUAUGAAUCUACGGCUGCAGAAAGUUCCCGUUCAGGCCAGAUUGUUGUUCUUGGCCCCAGGCUCGCAAUAUGAAAUUACAGAAAAUGUAAAUUUCAACUGUUGUCUCUUAAGAUAAAAUUUCUUGGACUGAGAGUGAAAGAUUUGGGGAAACUGAUGAUAAGAGUGCCUUUGGGCGACUAUAUAAAGCGAUGGUUGUGACAGACUGCUGGUUUCUGAUAUUCUCUUUUUCUUUCUUAACCCGAUUUUGGCCACAGUGAGAAGGUACCCAUUAAAAAUGCUCACCUUCUCCAGUGACUGGGAAGGAGCACAUGGGCAGUUGCAAGGAGGUGGUUCCCACUGUUUCUUGAUCUGGGUGCGGGUCAGAUGGGUGUGUUCACUUUGUGAAAAUCCCUAAGUGGUAUACUUUUUACUUUGAAAAGGUUUUUAAAAAUCACUUCCCCAUCCUCCCAGGCAGCCCCAGGACAGUUCUAGCAGAUGAGAUGGGAUCAGAAUUGGGCUUCCAAGAAAACUUGUGACAGGGAGCGAACUCUGAAGCAGAAACCUUUUGCCUUUCCCCUACCUGCCCCCUUCUUUCUGCUGGAUCCUGGUCAUGAUUCCUGGAGGUGCAGCAGCCAUCCUGUGAGCACAUGCAGGAGGGCCACGUGCAAAAGAAGGCAGUGAGCCUAAGGAAGGUGCCCAGUCCUGGUGGCCUUAAAUUUCUCAUCUCCGGAAUUUUCAUUGUUUUUAUUCUAGUGGAAGAGAAAUGAUUUACAUUUGAUUGUAAGGUUAGGCAUCUUUUCCUGUUUUCUGCCUCUUGUUUUAUUUUCUGUUUGUCUUUCCCUUUCUUCCUUUGCAAAACGUCUGCACUCAUUGAAAAUGUUAGUGCUUUGUGUGUCAAAUGUGUUACGGAUAGCCUUCCAAAUGUGGCAUUUGUUUUUUGAGUUUAUGUGUGUGUUUAAAUUAGAGGUUAUUGCAUUUUUAUUUUAUGGCUUCUGAAUUUUGCAUAAUUUUUAUACUUUUCCCAUUCCAGAACUGUUAAAAUGCUAACUCUUUUUAAUAGUACCUUUAUGGUUUCACUUUAUUAUGUUUAAAUCUUGGAUCCAAGUGGAAUUCAAUACAAUGUAAAGAAUUAGGUCAAGAUCCAGGUUUCUACCUCCCAUCACCUCGCAACACUGUCUAGGGAAUAACUAUCUUUGCCCAGCUAUUUUGAAAUGCUACCUUUAUCAUGUGUUAAAUUCCAUUUGAAUUUGGGUCUUUUCUUGAAUCUCUGUUUACCGGUCUGUACCUCGACCAAUAUAUCAUUAUCUUAAUUAUUUUACUUUAUAAGUUGUUUCAGUAUCUGAUAAGGUUACUUCCCUCAUGGCUCUACUUUUUCAAAAUGCUCACGGGUGAAAAUAAGGUGGGUAAGUUGGAGCUGGUGAGAGUCAGAGAUGGAACAUUGUCCUCGAGAGAGUCAAUGUGGCCAGUCGUGUGUAUGACCAAGACAUUCAAUCAAACGGAAAAGGAUGAAAGGAGAAUAACGUAACAGCCUCACAAAAUAUUCUGUUUAUUAUGACGUCAGGGAUGGCACAAAGGUUCUUCAACACAGGUAGCAUUUUAACAAGAUUCUUAUUUUAGGCACUUAUCCUUUUCCUCUACAAUGUAUUCCUGGAACUGUUUUGUAAAAAAGUCAUAUUUUCUCUUAAUAACUCCUCAUAUCCAGAAACUCAGCAUCAAACAGGUUAUGGUUCUAAUAAAUAGGUCAUGAAAGCCCAAACAGAAAACUUCGGAUGGUCUUUAGUCAUAUAAAAGGGUAACAUUAUGUUUCAAGCCCUAUUACAUGGCCACGUGUGGACUCAAGAUGAUUCUUCUGCAGGCCUCAAUGUACUGUGAAGUCUACAUAAAGCACAGACCAUUCUAUCUAGUCUAAAAAUAGCCCCACCUGUGACAAAAGGACAAAUAUAACAUUAACAAUUGUGCUUCCCUUUUUGGAAUUUCGGAGAGUCAUGAGGAAUUUAUAUGUAAGAUCCAAGACUCUUCUUAAAAUAAGCUUUCCAAAGAAAACUGAAAUGGCUCUAUUUCUUCUGAUAACUUUCCUUGAGACAAACAGAAGCAUUCAGAAUAAUUCCACUGGUCUUAUGGCUGCAUGUGGUUUUAGGUUUUUCCUAAAAAUGGCUAUUACAGUAUUUAAAGACUUGCUUAGGACAUUAGUUUUGAGUGCCCAGAAGUAUUAAGAGAACUAGUCUUUCAAAUCAUGCCUUUUUUUUUCAUCUUUUCUGUGUAAA